rnacentral:lncRNA from 1 species
GCCUCUCGACUUACCAUCACUAGAUAUAUAGAUGUCAUUUUUUUUUCUUAUGAGUUUCAAAUUUGGAAUUAUCAUUGCAAACGAUUUUUCAAAUCAUUCCAGCUAUUUUGAAAUUCACGUUAUUCAUGCAUUGAAUUAAAUUGUAGAGCUUGAUGAUCUAAUUAACAUAGUGACUCCAUUUUUUGGUACGCUAAUUGCGUGAAUCUAUGAUGCAAAUUUGAUGUUCUUCGUUAGUUGAGCUUUAUUAGUGUAUUAUGUUCAUGUCAUAUUGUUAUUUUUUAUGUCUCCAUUAAGCCUUGUUUUUUUUAAUUUUGUAUGCUUAGCAACUGUCCAACACAUGAGUUUUAUUGACUCUAAGGCUACAAUGGUUAGUAUAACAACAUAUCUCGAAAGAGCACAGAUGCAUUAGCGCACAACUUCUCAUUUUGUUUCAUUAACCCUUGUAGUGGGCAUAGUGGAAGUGAUAUGCAUCACUCGGAGAGACACGAGCAAAGGACUCAUGAACAUAUAUUCCUUGGUUGUUGUUA